GCCAAGUAGCGUGCAGGAUGACGGCCCUCUGGGUUGUAAACUGCUUUUAGUUGGGAAUAAAGUGCAUCACGUGUGAUGUUUUGUAUGUACCAUCAGAAAAAGGACCGGCUAAUUCCGUGCCAGCAGCCGCGGUAAUACGGAAGGUUCAGGCGUUAUCCGGAUUUAUUGGGUUUAAAGGGAGCGCAGGCGGACCUUUAAGUCAGCUGUGAAAUACGGCGGCUCAACCGUCGAACUGCAGUUGAUACUGGAGGUCUUGAGUGCAUACAGGGAUACUGGAAUUCAUGGUGUAGCGGUGAAAUGCUCAGAUAUCAUGAAGAACUCCGAUCGCGAAGGCAGGUAUCCGGGGUGCAACUGACGCUGAGGCUCGAAAGUGCGGGUAUCAAACAGGAUUAGAUACCCUGGUAGUCCGCACAGUAAACGAUGAAUACUCGCGAUUUGCGAUACACAGUAAGUCGCCAAGCAAAAGCGUUAAGUAUUCCACCUGGGGAGUACGCCGGCAACGGUGCAACUCAAAGGAAUUGACGGA
rnacentral:rRNA from 1 species